AUGGCUCAGAUUGAACGCUGGCGGCAGGCUUAACACAUGCAAGUCGAGCGGCAGCACGGGGAGCUUGCUCCCUGGUGGCGAGCGGCGGACGGGUGAGUAAUGCAUAGGAAUCUGCCCGGUAGUGGGGGAUAACCUGGGGAAACCCAGGCUAAUACCGCAUACGUC
rnacentral:rRNA from 1 species